rnacentral:rRNA from 1 species
GACGAACGCUGGCGGCGUGCUUAACACAUGCAAGUCGAGCGGUAAGGCCCUUUCGGGGGUACGACGAGCGGCGAACGGGUGAGUAACACGUGGGUGACCUGCCCUCAGCUCUGGGAUAAGCCUGGGAAACCGGGUCUAAUACCGGAUAUGACUCCAUGACGCAUGUUGUGGGGUGGAAAGCCUUGUGCGGCUGAGGAUGGGCCCGCGGCCUAUCAGCUUGUUGGUGGGGUGAUGGCCUACCAAGGCGACGACGGGUAGCCGGCCUGAGAGGGCGACCGGCCACACUGGGACUGAGACACGGCCCAGACUCCUACGGGAGGCAGCAGUGGGGAAUCUUGCGCAAUGGGCGAAAGCCUGACGCAGCGACGCCGCGUGAGGGAUGACGGCCU